GCAUCCUUUGCUGAGGAUACGGUUAACGGAGCGAAAGCGACGUUCAACCGCAAAACAAGCAGAGGGGGCUUAGUGGUGGGGUGACUGCGUACCUUUUGUAUAAUGGGUCAGCGACUUAUAUUCUGUAGCAAGGUUAACCGAAUAGGGGAGCCGGAGGGAAACCGAGUCUUAAUUGGGCGUUAAGUUGCAGGGUAUAGACCCGAAACCCGGUGAUCUAGCCAUGGGCAGGUUGAAGGUUGGGUAACACUAACUGGAGGACCGAACCGACUAAUGUUGAAAAAUUAGCGGAUGACCUGUGGCUGGGGGUGAAAGGCCAAUCAAACCGGGAGAUAGCUGGUUCUCCCCGAAAGCUAUUUAGGUAGCGCCUCGUGAAUUCAUCUCCGGGGGUAGAGCACUGUUUCGGCUAGGGGGCCAUCCCGGCUUACCAACCCGAUGCAAACUGCGAAUACCGGAGAAUGUUAUCACGGGAGACACACGGCGGGUGCUAACGUCCGUCGUGAAGAGGGAAACAACCCAGACCGCCAGCUAAGGUCCCAAAGUCAUGGUUAAGUGGGAAACGAUGUGGGAAGGCCCAGACAGCCAGGAUGUUGGCUUAGAAGCAGCCAUCAUUUAAAGAAAGCGUAAUAGCUCACUGGUCGAGUCGGCCUGCGCGGAAGAUGUAACGGGGCUAAACCAUGCACCGAAGCUGCGGCAGCGAACGUAUCACCCAAGACAACUUUACGGAGUUGACGAUUGACGGAGCGAAGCGACGUCAAAGCGUUCAUUAAAGUCGAGUUGGCUUAGGGAUACGUUCGUUGGGUAGGGGAGCGUUCUGUAAGCCUGUGAAGGUGUGUCGUGAGGCAUGCUGGAGGUAUCAGAAGUGCGAAUGCUGACAUAAGUAACGAUAAAGCGGGUGAAAAGCCCGCUCGCCGGAAGACCAAGGGUUCCUGUCCAACGUUAAUCGGGGCAGGGUGAGUCGACCCCUAAGGCGAGGCCGAAAGGCGUAGUCGAUGGGAAACGGGUUAAUAUUCCCGUACUUGGUGUUACUGCGAAGGGGGGACGGAGAAGGCUAUGUUGGCCGGGCGACGGUUGUCCCGGUUUAAGCGUGUAGGUGUGUGUUCCAGGUAAAUCCGGUUCACUUUAACACUGAGGCGUGACGACGAGGCACUACGGUGCUGAAGCAACAAAUGCCCUGCUUCCAGGAAAA
rnacentral:rRNA from 1 species